GUACUGCUGAGGAGUCCCAUAAUAGGACGAAACGUCAGUCCAGUGC
rfam:Schistosoma rodhaini strain Burundi genome assembly, scaffold: SROB_scaffold0000008